UACGUAGGGUGCGAGCGUUGUCCGGAAUUAUUGGGCGUAAAGAGCUCGUAGGCGGUUCGGUAAGUCGGGUGUGAAAACUCUGGGCUCAACCCAGAGCCGCCACCCGAUACUGCUGUGACUCGAGUGCGGUAGGGGAGUGGGGAAUUCCUGGUGUAGCGGUGAAAUGCGCAGAUAUCUGAAGGAACAUCAGUGGCGAAAGCGACUUCCUGGACCAAUACUGACGCUCAUGUGCGAAAGCGUGGGGAGCAAACAGG
rnacentral:rRNA from 1 species